rnacentral:rRNA from 1 species
AGCGAACGCUGGCGGCAGGCCUAACACAUGCAAGUCGAACGAACCUUUCGGGGUUAGUGGCGGACGGGUGAGUAACACGUGGGAACGUGCCUUUAGGUUCGGAAUAACUCAGGGAAACUUGUGCUAAUACCGAAUGUGCCCUUCGGGGGAAAGAUUAAUCGCCUUUAGAGCGGCCCGCGUCUGAUUAGCUAGUUGGUUGAGGUAAUGGCUCACCAAGGCGACGAUCAGUAGCUGGUCUGAGAGGAUGAUCAGCCACAUUGGGACUGAGACACGGUCCAAACUCCUACGGGAGGCAGCAGUGGGGAAUCUUGCGCAAUGGGCGAAAGCCUGACGCAGCCAUGCCGCGUGAAUGAUGAAGGUCUUAGGAUUGUAAAAUUCUUUCAGCGGGGACGAUAAUGACGGUACCCGGAGAAGAAGCCCCGGCUAACUUCGUG